AUACUGGAUUGAUUGGGGUUUGCAAGUGAUAUAUAAUAUAAAACAAUAUUAUGAUAAUAUAGGAAGAAGAUUUCUGCAGAUUGCAGAGGACAACAACGUGAAUAAGAGGGAAAGCUCCUACAAUACAGGCCAACAAGGAACAACAUAUUUUUUGAGGAAAUAUGCGGUUUGAAGUUAUUAUGCCUGUAUAGAAUAUUUGCCAAUGCUUACAAUAACAGAGAGAGUUGAAUGUUAUUAAAUUGUAUGUCCUAUCAGCACGGUCCUAAUAAAAUUUGUCAGUCCUAGGACCUUUACUAAUCGGUCUUCUAUGGUAAAUACAAGAGUGCAAAUGAGGUAGUUACUAACUAUGUCCUUUGAGCUGUUCAACUUAACCUCUUAAUUGCAAGAGGCAAGAUAGUUGAAGAUGAAAUAGGAGCUAUGAUUGAAGAAUAGCUAUGAAGAUUGCUAAGACUAUAGAACUGGAAGGUGAGCGGACUUUUGACCAAAAACAUUUUUACCGAACAGACAUUCACCCCAAAAGGAACAUUUGGGACAUUUGGACGAAAAAUGAUUUUAAAUUUAUUAAUAAAAGGAUUGCGUAUUUUAAUUCAAUUUGAAAUGAUAUUAUGAUAAAUAAGUAUCGUUCAUAUGCUAAAUAUGUCAUAUAGGUAAAAUAAUGAGUGUUCUUUUGAAAAAAAAUAUUUUAUAUCGGUUGAUGAACAUCCUUGGCCCACGGGUUGUCCACCAUUUAAUUCUACGCAACUACUUUAUACAUAUUUCUGCAAUGUUUUUUGAUAUAUGGUGUUAAAUAGAAAUUUAUAUACUUAAAAAUAUAAUAGAUAU
rnacentral:lncRNA from 1 species